UACGUAGGGUGCGAGCGUUGUCCGGAAUUACUGGGCGUAAAGAGCUCGUAGGUGGUUUGUCGCGUUGUUCGUGAAAACUCACAGCUCAACUGUGGGCGUGCGGGCGAUACGGGCAGACUGGAGUACUGCAGGGGAGACUGGAAUUCCCGGUGUAGCGGUGGAAUGCGUAGAGAUCGGGAAGAACAUCAGUGGCGAAGGCGGCCUGCUGGGCUGUUGCUGACGCUGAGGCGCGACAGCGUGGGGAGCAAACAGG
rnacentral:rRNA from 1 species